rnacentral:snRNA from 1 species
CUAUGGAUUGGUUUCAUUUGGU